rnacentral:rRNA from 1 species
AGAGUUUGAUCCUGGCUCAGAACGAACGCUGGCGGCAUGCCUAACACAUGCAAGUCGAACGAAGGCUUCGGCCUUAGUGGCGCACGGGUGCGUAACGCGUGGGAAUCUGCCCAAAGCUACGGAAUAACUCGGGGAAACUCGUGCUAAUACCGUAUGAUGUCGCAAGACCAAAGAUUUAUCGGCUUUGGAUGAGCCCGCGUAGGAUUAGCUUGUUGGUGGGGUAAAGGCCUACCAAGGCGACGAUCCUUAGCUGGUCUGAGAGGAUGAUCAGCCACACUGGGACUGAGACACGGCCCAGACUCCUACGGGAGGCAGCAGUGGGGAAUAUUGGACAAUGGGCGAAAGCCUGAUCCAGCAAUGCCGCGUGAGUGAUGAAGGCCUUAGGGUUGUAAAGCUCUUUUACCCGGGAAGAUAAUGACUGUACCGGGAGAAUAAGCCCCGGCUAACUCCGUGCCAGCAGCCGCGGUAAU